rnacentral:rRNA from 1 species
UACGGAGGCCUCAAGCGUUACCCGGACUCACUGGGCGUAAAGGGUGUGUAGGCGGUCGUGUUAGUCUUUCGUGAAAGAUCUUGGGCUUACCCCAGGAGGCGCGGGAGAAACGGCACGGCUUAGAGGAUAUGAGAGGUAAAGGGAACUCAUGGUGUAGGAGUGAAAUCCGUUGAUAUCAUGGGGAACACCAAAUGCGAAGGCACUGUACUGGCAUACUCCUGACGCUGAAACACGAAAGCGUGGGUAGCGAACGGG